GAUGAACGCUAGCUACAGGCUUAACACAUGCAAGUCGAGGGGAAACGACAUCGUAAGCUUGCUUUUGAUGGGCGUCGACCGGCGCACGGGUGAGUAACGCGUAUCCAACCUGCCCAUCACUUGGGAAUAACCUUGCGAAAGUAAGACUAAUACCCAAUGAUAUCCCACGAAGGCAUCGGAAUGGGAUUAAAGAUUUAUCGGUGAUGGAUGGGGAUGCGUCUGAUUAGCUUGUUGGCGGGGUAACGGCCCACCAAGGCAACGAUCAGUAGGGGUUCUGAGAGGAAGGUACACCACAUUGGAGCUGAGACACGGUCCAAACUCCUACGGGAGGCAGCAGUGAGGAAUAUUGGUCAAUGGGCGAGAGCCUGAACCAGCCAAGUAGCGUGCAGGAAGACGGCCCUAUGGGUUGUAAACUGCUUUUAUAAGGGAAUAAAGUGGGUCACGUGUGACUUUUUGCAUGUACCUUAUGAAUAAGGACCGGCUAAUUCCGUG
rnacentral:rRNA from 1 species